AUGCAGGCUGUCUUGGGCCCACUAAGUAGCACAGGACUCUGUUUGGUGGCCCCUGGAGUUCGAAAACGUACCUCCAGGCACAGCCCUCUGGUCAAGGGGUUGGAGUUAGACCUUCACUGAGCAGGGCUUGGGGUGCUGCUGAAGUGAAUGGGGAAAAUGGGCACCCUGUUUCUACUGGGAGAAGACUGAGCCUGCCUGGAGAGAAGCUGCAGGGAGGACACCAGUACAGAGAAAAGGAGCCCUAGUCCCUGGAUGCAGCCAUGCCUGAAGCCCACCACCUGGGAUUUUCUUUUUCAUCAGAUUCCUUUUUGUUGAAGCCACUUUGAGUUCUGUUUCUGCUGCCAGGAAAUGACCCACAGGAGUUCCUCUCUGGGCUUCCGCUUGCCCAUAUGUAAAAGAAAAAGUUCAGAGCACUGGUUGGGUCCCUACCUCAUGGGUUGAGCAGUCCUGCUUAGCAGAGCUCUGGGCCAGUGAUACUGAGCUCCUGCUGUGUACUCAGUAUUUGGGGCUCCUCUGAGGGGCAGUCCCUCAGCUGCUCCCCACAGCUCCAGGAGUUCAGACUGUGGUAGUCUCCGUUUCACAGCUUCGUUCAUUCAUUGAUUCGGAAGUGGGAAGCAUGUCUCCAUCCGGGAGGCAGGCUGCCUCAGUUUACCUCCCCGGAUACCUUCCCCCUCUGUCUGUCCAGCAGCCUCUGGGUUUGGUCAGAAAGAGCUGUUUUCUCUGCCUCUGCCCCCGCCCCUGAGCCAGUGCACUGCAGGGCAUGACACGGGCACGCCUGCCCCACUUCUGCGCCCUCGCCUGUCCCUUCUCUUUUUUUAAAAGAUAUAUUCACUUACCAUGCAAUUCACCCCUUUACAGUAAACAAUUCGGUGGCAUUUAGUGCAUUCAUCUUGUGCAUGUUGUGCAACCAUCUCUACCUAGUUCUGGAACAUUUCCAUCAUCCCCCUCCCCGCCCGCCUCCCCAGCCCCGGCACCCACCCACGUGCUUCUGUCUGUGCUUUGCCUGUUCCGGACGUUUCGUAUAAAUGGG
rnacentral:lncRNA from 1 species